GACUAGACGGUCUAAUGGUUAAGACAUCCGGCAAAUACCUGGAAGGUCCGGGUUCGAUUCCUGGUUCGGGUA
rnacentral:tRNA from 1 species